UACGGAGGGUGCAAGCGUUAUCCGGAUUCACUGGGUUUAAAGGGUGUGUAGGCGGGCCUGUAAGUCAGUGGUGAAAUCUCCGGGCUUAACCUGGAAACUGCCAUUGAUACUAUAGGUCUUGAAUGUUGUUGAGGUAGGCGGAAUAAGUCAUGUAGCGGUGAAAUGCAUAGAUAUGACUUAGAACACCGAUUGCGAAGGCAGCUUACUAAGCAACUAUUGACGCUGAGGCACGAAAGCGUGGGGAU
rnacentral:rRNA from 1 species